rnacentral:sRNA from 1 species
GACGGGUGCAGUGGCGCACACCUGUAAUCCCAGUGGCUCGGGAGGCUGAGGCAGGAGGAUUGUGAGUUCAAAGCCAGCCUCAGCAAUUUAGCGAGGCCCCAAGCAGCUUAGCAAGACCCUGUCUCAA